rnacentral:SRP_RNA from 1 species
GUCGGACUCGGUGGCUCUGCCUGUAGUCCCAGCUACUCGGGAGGCUGAGGCGGGGAGGAUUGCUUGAGCCCAGGAGUUCUGCGCUGUAGUGUGCUCUGCUGAUCGAGUGUCUGCAUUAAGUUCAGCAUCAAUAUGGUGACCUCCUGGGAGUGGGGGACCACCAGGUUGCCUAAGGAGGGGUGAACCAGGCCAGGUCGGAAACGGAGCAGGUCAAAACUCCCGUGCCUAUCAGUAGUGGGAUCAAACCUGUGAAUAGCCACUGCACUCCAGCCUGGGCAACAUAGUGAGACCCCAUCUCU